GUGUGUGUGUGUAAAGAAGGUGUCGAGAUGCUUGCAGUCACUCUGCCAGUGCUGGCUAAUCAUGAUGGUACUUGGUGCAUUCCUGCUCUUAUCUCUCUUAAUAGGAGAAUCUGUUGGGAAUACUAUAACACCCUCUCAUUCCUCAGUGGUCAUCAUUGAGGGAGAAAGUGUCACUUUCUCCUGUAACUACAGCAGUAGUGAUGUCAGUAACUUGCAGUGGUAUCGGCAGUAUCCCAACUCUAUCCCAGAGUUCCUCUACUACAUAUAUGUGGCUGGUACCACUUCAGGCCCAGUUCCCCGUCUGACUCCCUCCAUAAAGACAGAGGAAAAGCGUGUGUUUCUGGAGCUCUCCUCUGCAGAGGCGUCUGACUCUGCUGUGUACUACUGCGCCCUGGUGCCCACAGUGACAGGAACUCAGACUCUGCUGUGCAAAAACCUCUCAGAUGUGCAGGAGGAGGGAGAUUCAACAUGUCCCCUUCACAGACAGAGAAUCUGUUGGGAAUACUAUAACACCCUCGCAUUCUUCACUGAUCGUCAUCGAGGAAGACGCUGUUACUUUCUCCUGUAACUACAGUGAUAGUGU